GACGAACGCUGGCGGCGUGCCUAAUACAUGCAAGUCGAACGCAUUUUCUUUCACCGUAGCUUGCUACACCGAAAGAAAAUGAGUGGCGAACGGGUGAGUAACACGUGGGUAACCUGCCCAUCAGCGGGGGAUAACACUUGGAAACAGGUGCUAAUACCGCAUAAUUCCAUUUACCGCAUGGUAGAUGGAUGAAAGGCGCUUUUGCGUCACUGAUGGAUGGAUCCGCGGUGCAUUAGCUAGUUGGUGGGGUAACGGCCUACCAAGGCUGCGAUGCAUAGCCGACCUGAGAGGGUGAUCGGCCACACUGGGACUGAGACACGGCCCAGACUCCUACGGGAGGCAGCAGUAGGGAAUCUUCGGCAAUGGACACAAGUCUGACCGAGCAACGCCGCGUGAGUGAAGAAGGUUUUCGGAUCGUAAAACUCUGUUGUUAGAGAAGAACAAGGAUGAGAGUGGAAAGUUCAUCCCUUGACGGUAUCUAACCAGAAAGCCACGGCUAACUACGUG
rnacentral:rRNA from 1 species